rnacentral:rRNA from 1 species
CAGUCGCCACGGUAACACGGAGGGUGCAAGCGCUAAUCGGAAUUACUGGGCGUAAAGCGCACGUAGGCGGAUAUUUAAGUCAGGGGUGAAAUCCCAGAGCUCAACUCUGGAACUGCCUUUGAUACUGGGUAUCUUGAGUAUGGAAGAGGUUAGUGGAAUUGCGAGUGUAGAGGUGAAAUUCGUAGAUAUUCGCAGGAACACCAGUGGCGAAGGCGGCUAACUGGUCCAUAACUGACGCUGAGGUGCGAAAGCGUGGGGAGCAAACAGGAUUAGAUACCCCUGUAGUCCCUGUCUCUUAUAC